GUAGAUCCAAUCACUUAAGGUUCCGUUAGACGCGUGUUCGUAGACUAAGUACCAGUCUCCUUCGUGGAAACAGAAGCCAGAGAGACGGAUGAUGUUGAAAUGGUUUAGCUUCGACAGUAAGUUGAUCUCCUCCGAUGCGUUUCCUUCCAUUUUCUUGAUCAUUGCACCGUCGCCGUUGAUCUUACCGAUGUAUCCUGAUCCUCCGACAGAGCUGGAAGAUGUGAAGUCGCUCGUUGCGGAUUGCAGCUCGUGGAACUUGUAAACUUUUAAGGUGUCAACCACCAUGCCUGAUAAGCCAUCUAGCGGAUCGAAGUCAGAUUCUU
rnacentral:lncRNA from 1 species